UACGAAGGGGGCUAGCGUUGUUCGGAUUUACUGGGCGUAAAGCGCACGUAGGCGGAUACUUAAGUCAGGGGUGAAAUCCCGGGGCUCAACCCCGGAACUGCCUUUGAUACUGGUAGUCUCGAGUCCGGAAGAGGUGAGUGGAAUUCCGAGUGUAGAGGUGAAAUUCGUAGAUAUUCGGAGGAACACCAGUGGCGAAGGCGGCUCACUGGUCCGGUACUGACGCUGAGGUGCGAAAGCGUGGGGAGCAAACAGG
rnacentral:rRNA from 1 species